rnacentral:rRNA from 1 species
UACAGAGGGGGCAAGCGUUGUUCGGAAUUACUGGGCGUAAAGGGCGCGUAGGCGGCCUGUUAAGUCGAACGUGAAAUCCCCGGGCUCAACCCGGGAACUGCGUCCGACACUGGCAGGCUUGAAUCCGGGAGAGGGAUGCGGAAUUCCAGGUGUAGCGGUGAAAUGCGUAGAUAUCUGGAGGAACACCGGUGGCGAAGGCGGCAUCCUGGACCGGCAUUGACGCUGAGGCGCGAAAGCGUGGGGAGCAAACAGG